UUUCAACAUAGUGAAGACUUUGAUACUUCUGCAAGUAUUUUAUACUUAAGACUUGAAGCAAAAAGAAAGGGUGAUGCCAGUGUCAUGGGCUGGCACCUUCAUCUUGCACUGUAUGUACUUGGAGCUCCUGUCACAUUAUUACAUCAACCUCAAUAAGUGAUUUCUU
rnacentral:lncRNA from 12 species